UGGGGAAUUUUGGACAAUGGGCGCAAGCCUGAUCCAGCAAUGCCGCGUGCAGGAUGAAGGCCUUCGGGUUGUAAACUGCUUUUGUACGGAGCGAAAAGGUCUGCCCUAAUACGGUGGGCUCAUGACGGUACCGUAAGAAUAAGCACCGGCUAACUCCGUGCCAGCAGCCGCGGUGAUACGUAGGGUGCGAGCGUUAAUCGGAAUUACUGGGCGUAAAGCGUGCGCAGGCGGUUAUGUAAGACAGAUGUGAAAUCCCCGGGCUCAACCUUGGAACUGCGUUUGUGACUGCAUAACUAGAGUACGGCAGAGGGAGGUGGGAUUCCGCGUGUAGCAGUGAAAUGCGUAGAUAUGCGGAUGAACACCGAUGGCGAAGGCAAUCCCCUGGACCUGUACUGACGCUCAUGCACGAAAGCGUGGGGAGCAAACA
rnacentral:rRNA from 1 species